rnacentral:tRNA from 1 species
CGAAAUCGGUAGACGCUACGGACUUUUAUAGUAAGAGGAAAAUCCGUCGAUUUAAGAAAUCGUGAGGGUUCAAG